rnacentral:rRNA from 19 species
CCGAGUUGUAAUUUGUAGAAGAUGCUUCGGGUGUGGCUCCGGUCUAAGUUCCUUGGAACAGGACGUCAUAGAGGGUGAGAAUCCCGUAUGUGACUGGGUGCCUACGCCCGUGUGAAGCUCUUUCGACGAGUCGAGUUGUUUGGGAAUGCAGCUCAAAAUGGGUGGUAAAUUUCAUCUAAAGCUAAAUACUGGCCAGAGACCGAUAGCGCACAAGUAGAGUGAUCGAAAGAUGAAAAGCACUUUGGAAAGAGAGUUAAACAGUACGUGAAAUUGUUGAAAGGGAAGCGCUUGCAAUCAGACUUGCGCCCGGGCGAUCAUCUGGGGUUCUCCCCAAGGCACUCGUCCGGGCUCAGGCCAGCAUCAGUUCUCGUGGUGGGAUAA